rnacentral:autocatalytically_spliced_intron from 1 species
GAACGCCGUAUGAGUACGAAAGUCUCAUGUCCGGUGUGAAGAGGGGGAAAAGGUGGCGAUAACAUCAAAAUCUUACCUAUCUCUAU